rfam:Myotis brandtii contig161215, whole genome shotgun sequence.
GCCUGUGUGGCUCAGAGGUUGAGCAUCGACCUAUGAAACCAGGAGGUCAGGGUUUGAUUCCCUGUGGAGGCA